AUCAUGCUAUGCAGUAUUGCUUAAUAAAGUGAAAGUUCGUUAAAUGUUUAAUGUGUGAUAGGUACUGUUUAUGUGUACUUCCUCAUUGGACUCAUUGGAUUUUCCAAUGAAAUAGUAUUACAUCUUUUUUUUUUUUAAAUAGAGUCUCACUCCUUUACCCAGGCUGGAGUACAGUGACAUGAUCUCAGCUCACUGCAACCUCUGCCUCCUGUGUUCAAGAGAUUCUCCUGCCUCAUCCUCUCGAGCAGCAAUAUAAAAUUACAUGCCACCACAGCCAGGUUUCCUGAUUCUGAGCCAGAUAAGAGUUUGGCACACCCCUGUCAUCUAAGUUGGAGGCUUAGAGAAGUAAGCAACCGAGGCGAGUUCCAGCUGGUCCUCACAGCUCACCUUCACAGGAUCCAGUUUAUCUUUGCUUUCUUCAUUUGCAUUCCAUCUUCUCUCCCCAAGCACAGGCAUGGAUGUGGAACACAAGCUGGACUAAUUGUAAUAUGGAGUCACCUACAAAGAGAUGUGUGA
rnacentral:lncRNA from 13 species